CGGCGCCGUGGCCACGCGCUGAGUCCCGUCCAGGCUUCUGCACCGGCUCCGCGAAGGGGAAGGCUGUGAACUCCCCAAGGACAGUAACUAUAGCCAAGUGACACAGAGAAGCUGCUCAGUAAAUAUUUGCUGAAUGCGUGAAUGACGUGCCUGGUCUCAAAUGACUCUGCAAAGUCUCUUCGAUUAAUGACGCCAUGAAGAGAUUGCCAUGGGCCCCACGGCCUGGUCUACCCUUUGGGCCUUUCAUCCUCUAAUCUGUGGUGUGGUUGGCUGUCCGUAUGUGAAUAUCUCUAAGGUCCCUGUCAGCACAGACGGUACCACUGCUGAAAAAGGAAAAUCAAAGAACUAUUCCAGCUGCUCUCAUCUGACAGAAGAGGAAAUAGGCCCAAUUAAGGCCCUUUCUUGCUGCGGGUAUCAUAGGGAACACACGAGGCCAGUGCAGGUUCCGGGCUGCUAGAGAGACUAUUGUUUAGUUUUCAAUUGUGUGGUGCCAGGAUACUGAAUGGAGGAGGAUAAAUUGGGAUGGAUGGGAAGGCAGCUGUGGCCCAGUCUACACCAAAUAUAGGUGGCUACUUCUACUCUGAGGAGCAACCCAAUCUACCAGAAUCAGCUGGUGUUUGAAUCCCACUCCACCACUGAAUGGCCUUGGACAAGUCACUUUGGCACCCAUGAAAUGAGGACAGCAACACCUACUGCAUCAGAUUAUGGUGAAGCUAAAUGUAUGAUGCAUACAAAGUACCUAAGAUGAUAUUUGGUACAUAGAAAAAGGCUUUGUAAACCCAUAAUCCAACCACAUGUACUCUUCUAAAGAAAAAUAAUCACACCAAGAAUAGGAAUUUGCCAAAUAAGAUGUAAGCAAUACCAAAUAUUUUUUAAAUCAAAAUUUUAUAGUAACACAAACUAACCCCAGAUCCUGGCCUGCUUAAUAAAUCUCCUAUAAAGCUGACAUACUUAUGGGAUUACUGUUUACAUUAGUAACAGCUUAAAGGGUGGACACUGCUCACCUGCCAAGAAAUGAGUCUCUCAGGCUCUCCAUCUUAUGUCUGUGUGGCAUGGCAGAGCACAACACUGUAGGAACACUUCUGUUCUCUCUUGGCCUCUGCCACCACUGAGGGCAUCAUCCAGAGCAAGAUGCCCUGUCCAGUCCUGUGUAAAAUGAGAGUUUGUCUAUAUAGUUUCCCAAACUCCUUCCGGCUCUAAAACUCUACUGCCAUGUAGAUUUUAACAGUUUAACAUGUGUGAUACUGGUUUGAGGAAGAAGUACUGUCUUCAUCAGAUAUCUUGAAAGCCUGAAAUAGGAUACUGAAUAUCACAAUGAUUAUCUACUGUUUUUUGAGGGGAAAUGAAGAACCUAACAGUUGACCUCUGAACAACACAGGUUUGAACACAGGUCCACUUACAAGUGGAUUAUCUUCAAUAAGUAUAUUGGGAAAUUUUUUUGGAGAUUUGAGGCAAUUGAAAAAAUUCACUGAUGAACUGCAUAGCCUAGAAAUACCAAAAAGAUAAGAUAAAGUUAGGUAUUAUUGUAAGAAUAAAGUACAUAACAACAUAUAACAUACAAAAUAUGUGUUUAUCAACUAUGUUAUCAGUAAGGCUUCCGGUCGAUAGGAGGCUACUGGUUAAGUUUUUGAAGAGCCUAAAGUUAUACACAAUUUUCAGCUGUGCAGGGGAGCCAGUGCCCCUAAUCCCUGAGUUGUUCAAGGGUCAACUGUAUAUAUAUAUUUCUAAUACUAAGAUAACAAGUCACAUUUUCACUGAGAAGCGAGGGACUAAUCUAAAAACAUUUAGAGUCAUGUAGUCCCAUGUACACACAAUUUUCAAAGGUAGGUCUACUCUGAACAAAUGUCAAUUUCUCAGCGGCUCCAAACCUAUUCCAACUGGACUUACUGGCAAUUGUUGGUGAAGUUGGCUUAGUUUUAUAUACCAUUAUCAAUCCAAGGAGGCAUUAUGUGGGAAAACAAACAUUGCUGUGUUUAUAGGUUGCUGCAAAGGCUGUUCCCUACUGUCUUCUCUUAGCCUCAAACAGGGAGACAUGUAGAAACCACACAGGUUCUCUACAGGGCUUACAUUUAAUGGAAGAGCCAGGCAAGCCUGGGAGCACAUGUAAGGGUCACUUGACUCAGAUUUCAGGGACCAGAAGCCUCCAGAAAAGUGUCAUCUAAGCUGAGGUCUGAAGAGCGAACAGCAAGGGUGUGAGGGUGAUGACCAGAGACGAGAACAGGUCUCACACCUUGCACUCCAAGUGUACCUAGGGCAUCACCUCCUCCAGUCGGCUCCACUCACACCAUGGAUUUUCCUCUAGCUAGAGUGACCAUAAGUCCUGGUUUGCUCUGGAGAGUCCCGGUUUAUCUGGCAUAACUAUUAAAAGUGCCUCCUUAUACUCUCAAAAGUGCUCUGGAUGGGAUGAUCAAUUAUACCAAUACCCUACCUUUAGCCUAGUUCCUGGCAGAUCCUGACUUGCAGGUCUGGCUUCCCCAGGUGACUCAGCUGACCGAAGUAUGGGAUCAAUCUUAUUUACCUUUGCAUCCAAGGCAUGGGCUCCACUUCAUUCAUCGUGGUAUCCAUGACACCUAGCCUCAUGCCUGGGGCUAAAAAGAUUGACCACUACAGGCAUUCAAGACAGAAUUUGAAAAUUAACAUGAAAAGCAAACUAUAAGAGACAACAAAUUAGAUUUGUAAAUCUUUACAUCACGCUGAAAUCCUCGUUCAAAUGUUCACUAGCCACGUAACCUUCUAAUCCUUAGGUUUUCACCUGAAAAAAAGGGGGGAUAAUAUUACCUUUUUCACAGGUUGGGUAAGUUUAAAGUGCUUCAGCACAGCACUGGCAUAGGACGAACAGUUAGCAGCAGCUGCCACAGACAAGGACUACUGAUCCUCCUGCGCCCACAACCGUUUUGCCGUAAGAAAAUCAAACCAACACCUAAUGACCAACCAGUAGGGGCUCAGGAAGUGUGCACUAAAUGAAUGCUUGGUCUCAUGCUAGGUGCUGGCUGCAGACCAGAUUCUUGGAUUACAAAAUGCAUUAAUCAAAAUUACAAUUUGUAAGUCACAGGAUUUGAGUCCCCUCAGUCCAGUUUAAAUAACAAUUAUAAAAAGCCCACCUCGCAUCCAGAAGAAAAAUAGAACACAGCAGCACUAUCUGGCCAUAUCUUAGAUAAUAACAGCACUUAAAACCUCAUCCUUGUUACAACUGCCCUCUCUUAAAAAUUAUUCUUCUAUAAACAUGCCAACUUAGAUAUCUGGGUCCAUCUCUACCUUUUUGAACUGUCAGCCUCCCAAGUUUUAUGUGAUUAAUGUAUAUACAGAAAACUAGAAAGGCUUCAAAUUGAGUCAAUAGUCGUUUUCUUGAUCCCCCCACCCCCAUUACAAUAUCCUCUUUGCAAUAGAUCCUUGUUGAACAUUUGGAAUGAAUUAAGACUUUAAAUUUCCAGAUGUUUAAACUACUACUGUAAAUUCAAACUCAUUAAAAAGGGCAGAUUUACUACCUCUACUUAGUUUUGAAGCCUGUUGUUCACCCUGUCCAAAUAAUUUAUGAAACCAAAUACAGUGGCAGGCAGUGUAUUCUAUUUAUGUAGUAUUCAUGGUGAGAAAUAAAGGGCAUUUAAAAAAGUCUGGAAACUAACUGCCAUUUUAACCAACCUAUAGAUCACACUUAUUGUUGUUUCUAAGCUAGUAAUUGUUUCCUGAAACCGAUCUAGUAGAGAUUUUUAUGCUAAUCUGUACUAAAAAUUACUUUGCUUUUUCUGGCCACAAAAAGCUGGCUACAGAGGAGCAUUUGAUUACAGCAAGAAGACAGCUGCACCCACUCUUGUGAAAUAAAUGGACCUGGAUCUACAGUCCUUUGUGGUAGUGUCUUGGCAGCCAAACAAAGGUGGCAGCAUUUCUACACCCAGUUUGUGAAGUCUCAGAAGUUUCAGGCUUUUUUUUUUUUUUUUUUUUGCAAAGAACCCAUGUUGACUAUAAUGAGCACAUUCUAGAGAUGCUGUGCUGAAAGCUGGCAAUGGAUAAAGCAGGAACAUAAAAGAAGCCUAUUCCUAAAGCAAAUAUUUCUUUUAUAAACCAUAAGAAUGAAGUGGCUUUCAUAAUCAAUUUUAAGAUUGAAGGAUUGAAAUAUCUGGCUAUGGCAACUUAUUAGCUAUAUAAUUUGGGGCAAUUCAUUUACCUCUGUGAGCUUGACUGCUCAACCGAAAAAUGGGGAUAAUAAGCUGCUUUUUUCGGAGAACUUGAAUGAUAUAGUCACAGUGCUCUGUAAGCUCUAAGGUAUCAUACAAAUAUUAAUAAACACUGCAAGUACAACUUUCCUGCUUUAUGAAUCACUCACUUUCAAUAGCACUUAAAAAGUAGCUGUCCCUAAAAUUAUACAAAACUAGAUCCAAUUAAGUCACUGCAGAGGGACUGGCCUCAAGAAGGGUCUCUUUCAACACAAUUACUAUUUAUCUCAGGGUUUUUGUUAAGAAUUAAAUAAAAAUGACACAAAAUUACUAAUAAGGUGUUUGCUCUCAUUUUUCAGGUAACACAUCCUAGUUAGGCUUCAACUAUGUUAACUUUUUUUUUUUCCCAAAAAUGUGAGUGGACAUGUAAAAAGCAAAAAUUCUUCCAGUUAGAUUAGCUGAAUCUUAAAUCUAAAUCUAUUUUCUGGCAUAUUUUGCCAACUGUUUGAAUACAGCAUUUUUUAAAAAACUGCACAUGCUUUUAUAGAUGGCCUGUCUUCUUUACUUUUAAUUUUAAUAAAUUCGAUUCACUUAACUCUGUAAAGUGUGUUUAUGUAUAGUUACAAAUAAGUACAACUGUACUUCUGUAACUUGUACUUGCAACUCAAGACUGCAAGCGCCAGUGAGUGAGAAAGCGCAGCCCUUAAGCCUGGCACACAGUCGGCAUUCAUCUAAUAUUUGUGGAAUAUUCACAUUAAUUCAUAAGUAGUCACAACACCCACAACUUUCUAUCUAAUCUUGCGAAAACGACAAUCCCAGUUUUAUGUGACCCAAUGACUCUAUCUAUCUUCAAAGACCCAGAGUUUGUAAAAAUGCGUUUAAUAAAUUAGGGUUUGGGGGCUUUCACUACAGUCCCAAAUUAAUUUGGAGAAUAUACAGAUUAUAAAAACAAAUGAUGGGCACCUUAAAAGCUUGACCAAUGCUUGUUGCAUGGCUGUUUUGCAUACAUGAUUAUGGCAGACUGCAAACAGAGCUGCAUUUUGCAGCUUGUCUUUUCAGGAUGAGGAGCCGAUUUCCUCACGCCUUGAAUCUGGGCCAGCCUCAUGACCUCCUGUGACCAAAAGAAUGUGGUGAAAGUGAUGUUCUGUGAGUUCUUGAGCUCAGGCUUUGAAGCUCCUGCCUUUGCCUCCUUGGUACUGAGACCACUAUGCCCUACGCCCAAGGUAAAAGACCACAUGGAGAGGCCCAGCUGUUCCACCCAGCCCCCAGCCAAUCUGCCAGCAGAAUGCAGAGCACCCACAUGACACUAGCAAAAGAACCACUCAACCAAGCCACAAAACUGAGAAACGAGAUGAACUGGUUUUUUUAAGCUGCUAAGUUUUGGGAUGUUGCCAAGCAGCCACAGGUAACUGAUGAUAAAUUAUCUACCCUUCAUGGCAUAACUAUAAAUAAGUGUGGUUUUUAUUUUUAUUAUUUUUUUAAGUUUUUAUUUAAGUAAAUCUCUAUACCCAAAGUGGGGCUUGAACUCACAACCCCAAGAUCAAGAGUUGCGUGCUCUUUCGACUGAGCCAGCCAAGCGCCCCACGAAUGUGGUUUUUAUAGUUGAGGAAACAUACCCAGGUUAAAAAAUCUACCAAGGUCACACCACUCUGAAAUAUCCUAAGGACUAGAAGCAGGUAUUAGAAGGCCGGCUCUGUUUCCUUCAUUGUCAUCCUG